rnacentral:rRNA from 1 species
GUGCCAGCAGCCGCGGUAAUACGUAGGUGGCAAGCGUUGUCCGGAAUCAUUGGGCGUAAAGGGCGCGCAGGCGGUUCGGUAAGUCGGUCUUAAAAGUGCGGGGCUUAACCCCGUGAUGGGAUUGAAACUGCCGGACUGGAGUGUCGGAGAGGAAAGCAGAAUUCCUAGUGUAGCGGUGAAAUGCGUAGAUAUUAGGAGGAAUACCAGUGGCGAAAGCGGCUUUCUGGACGACAACUGACGCUGAGGCGCGAAAGCCAGGGAGCAAACGGAUUAGAUACCCCGGUAGUCCUGGCCGUAAACGAUGGAUACUAGGUGUAGGAGGUAUCGACCCCUUCUGUGCCCGGAGUUAACGCGAAAUAGUACUCCCGCCUGGGGACGUACGGCGC